rnacentral:rRNA from 1 species
AUUGAACGCUGGCGGCAGGCCUAACACAUGCAAGUCGAGCGAGCGGCGGCCGGGUGAGUAAUGUAUGGGGACUGCCCGAUAGAGGGGGAUAACUACUGGAAACGGUAGCUAAUACCGCAUACUAUCGGAUAACCCAUAUGGGAUUAGCUAGUAGGUGAGGUAAUGGCUCACCUAGGCGACGAUCCCUAGCUGUUCUGAGAGGAUGAUCAGCCAAACUGGGACUGAGACACGGCCCAGACUCCUACGGAGGCAGCAGUUGGGAAUAUGCCACAAUUGACGCAAGCCUGAUGCAGCCAUGCCGCGUGUGUGAAGACGGCCUUCGGUUUGUAAAGUACUUUCAGUCGGGAGGCGGUACCGACAGAAGAAGCACCGGCUAACUCCGUGCCAGCAGCCGCGGUAAUUC